GGGGAUGUAGCUCAGUGGUAGAUUUUCCGCUUUGCAUGCGGAAGGACCGGUGUUCGAUCCCCGCAUCUCAA
rnacentral:tRNA from 1 species